CGACUGCUAAGACUGGAUAGGAGACAAGAGGGCAUCUUCUUGUUUUUAAAAGACCUAGCAAUAGGUAUGCUUAGGGAGGAGCUUGCGUCACAUUAGUUAGUUGGUGGGGUAAAGGCCUACCAAGACUAUGAUGUGUAGCCGGGCUGAGAGGUUGAACGGCCACAUUGGGACUGAGACACGGCCCAAACUCCUACGGGAGGCAGCAGUAGGGAAUUUUCGGCAAUGGAGGAAACUCUGACCGAGCAACGCCGCGUGAACGAUGAAGUAUUUCGGUACGUAAAGUUCUUUUAUUAGGGAAGGAAUAAAUGAUGGAAAAAUCAUUGCUGACGGUACCUAAUGAAUAAGCCCCGGCUAACUAUGUGCCAGCAGCCGCGGUAAUACAUAGGGGGCAAGCGUUAUCCGGAAUUAUUGGGCGUAAAGGGUGCGUAGGCGGUUAAAUAAGUUUAUGGUCUAAGUGCAAUGCUCAACAUUGUGAUGCUAUAAAAACUGUUUAGCUAGAGUAAGAUAGAGGCAAGUGGAAUUCCAUGUGUAGUGGUAAAAUGCGUAAAUAUAUGGAGGAACACCAGUAGCGAAGGCGGCUUGCUGGGUCUUUACUGACGCUGAGGCACGAAAGCGUGGGGAGCAAACAGGAUUAGAUACCCUGGUAGUCCACGCCGUAAACGAUGAGUACUAAACGUUGGGUAAAACCAGUGUUGAAGUUAACACAUUAAGUACUCCGCCUGAGUAGUACGUACGCAAGUAUGAAACUUAAAGGAAUUGACGGGACUCCGCACAAGCGGUGGAUCAUGUUGUUUAAUUCGAAGGUACCCGAAAAACCUCACCAGGUCUUGACAUGCUUCUGCAAAGCUGUAGAAACACAGUGGAGGUUAUCAGUUGCACAGGUGGUGCAUGGUUGUCGUCAGCUCGUGUCGUGAGAUGUUGGGUUAAGUCCCGCAACGAGCGCAACCCUUAUUGUUAGUUACCAGCACGUAAUGGUGGGGACUUUAGCAAGACUGCCAGUGAUAAAUUGGAGGAAGGUGGGACGACGUCAAAUCAUCAUGCCCCUUAUGACCUGGGCUACAAACGUGAUACAAUGGCUGUUACAAAGGGUAGCUGAAGCGCAAGUUUUUGGCGAAUCUCAAAAAAACAGUCUCAGUUCGGAUUGAAGUCUGCAACUCGACUUCAUGAAGUUGGAAUCGCUAGUAAUCGCGAAUCAGCAUGUCGCGGUGAAUACGUUCUCGGGGUUUGUACACACCGCCCGUCAAU
rnacentral:rRNA from 2 species